rnacentral:rRNA from 1 species
AUUGAACGCUGGCGGCAUGCCUUACACAUGCAAGUCGAACGGCAGCACGGGUGCUUGCACCUGGUGGCGAGUGGCGAACGGGUGAGUAAUAUAUCGGAACGUACCUUAUUGUGGGGGAUAACGCAGCGAAAGCUGUGCUAAUACCGCAUAAUCCCUAAGGGGGAAAGCGGGGGACCGUAAGGCCUCGCGCAAUUAGAGCGGCCGAUACCUGAUUAGCUAGUUGGUGAGGUAAAGGCUUACCAAGGCAACGAUCAGUAGCUGGUCUGAGAGGAGAAUCAGCCAAACUGGGACUGAGACACGGCCCAGACUCCUACGGGAGGCAGCAGCGGGGAAUUUUGGACAAUGGGGGCAACCCUGAUCCAGCAAUGCCGCGUGAGUGAAGAAGGCCUUCGGGUUGUAAAGCUCUUUUGUCAGGGAAGAAACAGCAGCUCUAACACAGUUUGCGAAUGACGGUACCUGAAGAAUAAGCACCGGCUAACUACGUGCCAGCAGCCGCCGUAA